AGGCAAAACGUUGAUCUGCUGAUUCCACUUCCAUCUUCUCCCCAUCCGCAAGCCGAUGAAACCAAUUGCCAAAUCCCCCAUUUCUGCUGGAUCUCGAGCGCUCCUUCUCACGGUCGUCGGUCCGUCGCCGGUGGUAGCAGCUUCACCGAGCCCUAGCUUGGUCGGUGGAACCUUUGCAUUGCAGACUCCAUUGCCCGGUGGUGCUGGUGCUUCCACCGUGAGCAGCAUCAAUGGAGUCGGGAAGGCCUUCCCCCACCACUUCUCGGACGGACUCUUCCCUCGCCAGAUCAAUCUCCGACGCCAGCCCCCAGAGCCUCUCCUCCAUCCUCAACAAUCCCCACCUCGGCAAGUCCGGCGUCUAUAGCAUCUCCUCCGACAGCUCCUCCUGGGUCGGCUGGUGGUCCUCUUCCACCGCCAUCUCUCUCCCGGAAUUCUCCCCUCUCUCUUCCUCCUCGUCCAAACCCUCCGAUCUAACCCGGUCCGACUUCCUCCCCUACAUCUCCUCCAUCCUCGAGCCCUACCAGCGUUUCGAGGACAUCCGCCGCCACACCUCCAAGGAAGAAGAUCCCCUCCUCCCCCGCGGGACUAAUGCUGCCCCAGCAGAUCCUGACGCCGCGGUCGGUCAGGGCGAUGCCCUGGUUGCCUGCCUCCGGGAGGUGCCCGCUCUCUACUUCAAAGAGGACUUCACUCUCGAGGACGGGCCGACGUUCCGUGCCGCCUGCCCCUUCUCCAACGUGUCCGAGACUCUGGUUCUCCAGGAGAAGCUCUCGCAGUACCUUGAUGUGGUGGAGCUGCACUUGGUCAAGGAGAUAUCCCUGCGGUCCAAUUCCUUCUUCGAGGCACAGGGGCAGCUCCAGGACUUGAAUGUGAAGAUCGUGCAAGGUUGCAAAUAUAUCAGGGAGCUUAAGGAGACUAUACGGCUAUUGGAUAAGGACUUGGUUGAUUCCGCCCGGCACAUUCAGGAGUUGAAUUCAUCGAGGAACAAUCUUCUGGUUCUUCAGCAGAAACUCAGGCUCAUUUUGUCUGUUAAUCAAGCUCUCUCAACCCUCAAAUUGCUUGUUGCAGCUGCUGAUUGUGCUGGUGCUUUGGAUGUUAUAGAUGAUUUGCAGCACUUACUGGAUGGAGGGGAACUUAAAGGUCUUCAUUGCUUCCGUCACCUACCGGACCAGGUGGUUGCUUCAGUUGAUUCAAUAAACAGUAUUCUUUCAGCAGAGUUUAUGCGUGCAUCUCUGCAUGAUGUUGGGGAUGUGGAUGUAAUUAUUUUAUCAAAAGCUAAGGCAAGGCCGUCCAUCGGGAUGAAUGGAGCAGAGGAUGAAGUCAAACUGGAAGAGGAAGAAACAUCGAACUUCCGAGAUCGGUUUCUACAUAUUGUAAUUGGAUUGCUGAGGACGGCUAAGCUACCAUCUGUGUUAAGAAUAUACCGUGACAUGCUUACUGCUGAUAUGAAGAAUGCGAUUAAGACCACAGUUGCAGAGCUUCUUCCCGUCCUUGUAGCUAAGCCUUUUGAGUCAGAUUUUGCACCCGGAGAAAGAACAGCAGAUGGAGAUGGUGGAGGUUCAUCUCUUGCAAGCAAAUUGAGGAGUCUCUCAUCUGAGAACUUUGUCCAUCUCUUGAGCACUAUCUUCAAGAUUGUACGGGUACAUCUAAUGCGAGCUGCUGAAGUUAAAAAGGCCAUUGAGUGGAUUAUGUCCAAUCUUGAGGGCGAGUAUGCUGAUGGAAAGACAAGUGACCCCAACAGUAUCUCAAAUGUGUCAAAAAACUUCAGAGCUGAUGUAUUGAGAGAAAAUGCAGAAGCUGUAUUUGCUGCUUGUGAUGCUGCUCAUGGAAGAUGGGCAAAGCUUCUUGGAGUGCGUGCUCUGCUUCAUCCUAGGUUGAGAUUACAGGAGUUCUUAAGCAUAUACAACAUCACACAAGAGUUUAUAUCUGCUACUGAGAAGAUUGGUGGAAGGUUGGGAUAUAGCAUCAGGGGCACCCUGCAAUCACAGGCUAAGUCCUUUGUUGACUUUCAGCAUGAAUCUCGUAUGACCAAAAUAAAGGCUGUGCUUGAUCAAGAAACUUGGGUUGAAGUUGAUGUACCUGAAGAGUUCCAGACCAUUGUAUAUUCAUUAUUUGGAACUCAGCCAUCCUCCAAUGGAGGACCAGAUGUCUCUCCAGUGAGCACAUUCAUUGAUGAUGAUGGUAUUGGCAAGACGGUUACUUCUACACAGCAGGAAAUAUUGGGAACUGAUUCAAUUGAUGGAACUGGAGAUAUUGCUAGACAGGCAAAAUAUCCUUCUGCUGCUGGAAGUCUUGAAAGAAGCAAAGCUGACGACGUCCAUUCUUCUCAUGCUAAUAACAGUAGUAUAAAAGAGCGUGGGAGGUCUGCUGCCCAGUCUAUUGUGUACAGAGGUGUUGGUUAUCACAUGGUAAACUGUGGCUUAAUAUUGGUGAAGAUGUUGUCAGAAUACAUUGACAUGAACAAUUUUUUACCAGCACUUUCUUCUGAGGUAGUUCUUCGAGUCGUGGAGAUACUAAAGCAUUUUAAUACAAGAACAUGUCAACUUGUUCUUGGUGCUCAUGCUAUGCAGGUUUCUGGCUUAAAGUCUAUUACAUCCAAACAUUUGGCACUGGCUAGUCAAGUCAUUAGCUUUGUACAUGCCAUUAUUCCUGAAAUUAGGCAUAUUCUAUUCAUGAAAGUACCUGAAACGCGGAAGGCCUUACUGUUAUUGGAGAUGGAUCGGGUAGCACAGGAUUACAAGGUCCAUCAAGAUGAAAUUCACUCUAAGCUUGUUCAGAUUAUGAGAGAGAGGCUCUUGGUUCAUUUGCGUGGCUUACAACAAAUCUUUCAGAGCUGGAAUAAUGCUGGUGAUAAUGAUGCACAACCAAGUCAGUUUGCUCGAUCACUUACAAAAGAAGUUGGCUUUCUUCAACGAGUAUUAUCUCGGACUCUGCAUGAGGCUGAUGUUCAAGCGAUUUUCAGGCAAGUGGUUUCCAUCUUUCAUUCACAAAUUUCAGAAGCAUUUACCAGUGCAUUGAAGAACUCGGAGGUGAGCACAGUGGAAUCCAGGAAAAGGCUAUGUAAGGACACUAGGCACAUUCUUAGCUGCAUCAGAUCAUUGCCCACGGGAGAUUCGAAUGAAUCUGUUACUCCAAAUUGGGGCCGACUUGAUGAGUUUUUAGCUGAAAAUUUUGGCACUGAAACUGCUCAAUAGAGGAGCUUAUUGUAUAGUGUGGAAGUACUCUUCUCCUCUGAUGAAAUCUGUUAAGCUGUCCAUCAUAUAUUUUCCAGAAGAAGUUUGAAGAUGAGACAGUUACUACAUAUACCACAAAGAAGUUGAAAGGGAUGGCACGGUGUCGGAUAAAUUCAUUCUUCUUUUUGUUUUUUUUUUUCUUUUGGUGAAAUUCUGUAUCAUUGAAUUCUGCAAAGGAGAUAAUGCAUUUUCGACCAGAGUUCUAGGCCGUGUGGCUUACACUUUCAAAUUCUUUUUCUUUAUCCCCCUUGGUUUGAUGAGAUGAUUCUCUCAUGAAGACGAGCAGUCUCGGUCUAAGGAGUCAAUGAUUUUUGAAGUAGCAACAAAGUAUAGCAGCAUCAAUCCAAUACAAUCCAUUGUGUGACAUCAUUGAUAGCGGUUCUAUCCUUUCUCUUACAUUUGUUGUGUUAUGCUUGUAUCCUUAGUUAGCCGCACCGAUUUUACAAUGUAUUCUUUGUAUUGUUCAACUAGAAAUUAGUGCAUAUCAUGUUCUCUCUCGAGCGAUUUCCUGUAUUUGCUGUGUUUCGGGUAAUAUGCUUGUAAUUCUGGUUCAUAGCAUCACAUGUAAAUGCAACUACAAUGAAGUUGACUGUCCCGCGGCAUAUCUAUCAAUUUUCAAUCAUUUGGAA